rnacentral:rRNA from 1 species
AUGAACGCUAGCGACAGGCCUAACACAUGCAAGUCGAGGGGCAGCACAAGGAGCAAUCUGAGGUGGCGACCGGCGCACGGGUGAGUAACACGUAUGCAACCUGCCUGUAAGCGGGGAAUAACCCGUUGAAAGACGGACUAAUACCGCAUAAUACUAAAUUACUGCAUGGUAAUUUAUUUUAAACAUUUAUGGCUUACAGAUGGGCAUGCGCAUGAUUAGCUAGUUGGAGAGGUAACGGCUCCCCAAGGCAACGAUCAUUAGGGGUUCUGAGAGGAAGGUCCCCCACACUGGUACUGAGACACGGACCAGACUCCUACGGGAGGCAGCAGUGAGGAAUAUUGGUCAAUGGACGAGAGUCUGAACCAGCCAAGUCGCGUGCAGGAAGAAUGUCCCUAUGGAUUGUAAACUGCUUUUGCAGGGGAAUAAAGUGCAUCACGUGUGAUGUUUUGUAUGUACUCUGCGAAUAAGGAUCGGCUAACUCCGUGCCAGCCGCUGC